rnacentral:rRNA from 1 species
ACUGGGCGUAAGCGCACGCAGGCGGUCUGUCAAGUCGGAUGUGAAAUCCCCGGGCUCAACCUGGGAACUGCAUUCGAAACUGGCAGGCUAGAGUCUUGUAGAGGGGGGUAGAAUUCCAGGUGUAGCGGUGAAAUGCGUAGAGAUCUGGAGGAAUACCGGUGGCGAAGGCGGCCCCCUGGACAAAGACUGACGCUCAGGUGCGAAAGCGUGGGGAGCAAACAGGAUUAGAUACCCUGGUAGUCCACGCCGUAAACGAUGUCGACUUGGAGGUUGUGCCCUUGAGGCGUGGCUUCCGGAGCUAACGCGUUAAGUCGACCGCCUGGGGAGUACGGCCGCAAGGUUAAAACUCAAAUGAAUUGACGGGGGCCCGCACAAGCGGUGGAGCAUGUGGUUUAAUUCGAUGCAACGCGAAGAACCUUACCUACUCUUGACAUCCAGAGAACUUUCCAGAGAUGGAUUGGUGCCUUCCGGAACUCUGAGACAGGUGCUGCAUGGCUGUC